rnacentral:rRNA from 1 species
ACGGGAGGCAGCAGUAGGGAAUCUUCGGCAAUGGACGAAAGUCUGACCGAGCAACGCCGCGUGAGUGAAGAAGGUUUUCGGAUCGUAAAACUCUGUUGUUAGAGAAGAACGUUGUGUAGAGUGGAAAAUUACACAAGUGACGGUAUCUAACCAGAAAGGGACGGCUAACUACGUGCCAGCAGCCGCGGUAAUACGUAGGUCCCGAGCGUUGUCCGGAUUUAUUGGGCGUAAAGCGAGCGCAGGUGGUUUAAUAAGUCUGAUGUAAAAGGCAGUGGCUCAACCAUUGUGUGCAUUGGAAACUGUUAGACUUGAGUGCAGUAGAGGAGAGUGGAAUUCCAUGUGUAGCGGUGAAAUGCGUAGAUAUAUGGAGGAACACCGGUGGCGAAAGCGGCUCUCUGGACUGUAACUGACACUGAGGCUCGAAAGCGUGGGUAGCAAACAGGAUUAGAUACCCUGGUA